UGCAGAAGCAGUCUCAAGUUAAAAACACCUUUUGAGUUUAAAGAUGAUCAGCCUGCCAAGUCAAGUUUACAGUGUCAUUAAUUAAAUGGGUAGCAUGAGUAAAGGGGAUUUGCCCAGCACACAACCUCAUGCGCUGCAGCUUCCAGGAACUGCUUUACCUCUCUAGCUGUGUGACAGGAUGCUCAUUAUCAGACUGGCCAUAAAAAUGUCUGUCUGACUGAGUGAUGAAAGCAGAGAAGAACCUGCAUGUCGCAGAAGGAGCUUCUGAUAAACAAACUGCUGCUGCAGAAAAUAUCCUCAAACACGACUCUUCUUCCUCCACUGACUUUUUUUUUUUUUUUUGCAUACUUUGAGUCCAGUUUUUUGCCCAGUUUAACAUACUAACUACUACAAAUAUACUAUUUCCCACUGGUGAGCAAUUUCAGUGUGCACGUAGGCAGAUUGCUUAAUCAGAUUCUCUGCGUUGUCCUUUUCUCUCAUGCAUUUGCCUUUAGGGAGACUUGAAUGAGUUAUAGACAUUGCAAAGUGUCAGUUUUCUAAAAUUCUUAAUCAGCUUGUCUUGUAAUGGUCAAAAGUGUCAUUACUUUGACCUUCAUCUGGAGAACCUGCUGUCUGAGGAUUUCAGUCACAUUAAAAGGUCUCUCAAUGUGUGCAAUUUAAGUGAAAACUGGAAAGCUUUAAGAGAUACUUUACAGAGAUACUUAGUAUCCAGAGAUACUCAAUCAGGUUUAGUUCAGGAUUCUGGGCUGGCUGUUUUAUCAUUUCAUUGUUUCAGCUUCCAGGAACUGCUUUACCUUUAAGGCGUGUGACAGGUUGCUCAUUGUCAAAAAAAUGUCUGACUGGUUGAUGAUAGCAAAGAAGGACCUGUUUGUUGCAGAAGAAGCUUCUAAUAAACAACUCCUGCUGCAUAAAA